rnacentral:rRNA from 1 species
GAACGCUGAAGCCGACAGCUUGCUGUUGGUGGAUGAGUGGCGAACGGGUGAGUAACACGUGAGUAACCUGCCCCUGAUUUCGGGAUAAGCCUGGGAAACUGGGUCUAAUACCGGAUACGACCACCUGACGCAUGUUGGGUGGUGGAAAGUUUUUCGAUCGGGGAUGGGCUCGCGGCCUAUCAGCUUGUUGGUGGGGUAAUGGCCUACCAAGGCGACGACGGGUAGCCGGCCUGAGAGGGCGACCGGCCACACUGGGACUGAGACACGGCCCAGACUCCUACGGGAGGCAGCAGUGGGGAAUAUUGCACAAUGGGGGAAACCCUGAUGCAGCGACGCAGCGUGCGGGAUGACGGCCUUCGGGUUGUAAACCGCUUUCAGCAGGGAAGAAGCGAAAGUGACGGUACCUGCAGAAGAAGUACCGGCUAACUACGUGCCAGCAGCCGCGGUAAUACGUAGGGUACGAGCGUUGUCCGGAAUUAUUGGGCGUAAAGAGCUCGUAGGUGGUUGGUCACGUCUGCUGUGGAAACGCAACGCUUAACGUUGCGCGUGCAGUGGGUACGGGCUGACUAGAGUGCAGUAGGGGAGUCUGGAAUUCCUGGUGUAGCGGUGAAAUGCGCAGAUAUCAGGAGGAACACCGGUGGCGAAGGCGGGACUCUGGGCUGUAACUGACACUGAGGAGCGAAAGCAUGGGGAGCGAACAG